AAACACUUAAGUAGCUCUAUUCGUGAAAUCAAUAUUUCAAAUAAUAAUCUGUUUCUUUGAUAUGUGGUACACAGGAUAACAUUCAACCCGAUCAGCUUCUAGCUAACUCCAACAUCACUGAUCAGCAAGUCCGUACACAUGACUCGGAUGAAGGGCAAAGGGGCAUUGACAACAUGGAGCUGUCACAGUGCAACAAGAUCUGACAACACAUGCCACUGCUUUUGUGGUAAAUGCCAGAGCCAAGCAUCGUCUCUCACCGGUGUGAAUUACAUUGUUGCUGGGCUAAGGCAGUAUCAAUCAUCACUAUUGGACAACCUCAGGAAGCAGAUGGAGGAGUGCUAAAGAAGCAUUCAGGAAGCACAUCAGGUCAACUUGAAAAAGAUGCCAUGGAUAUAUUUUACAUUUUCAUUGACCUUUUUGAUGGUGUUGUAACAACAUUUAGACAGGACAGUGUUAUUAAGAAGCAGUUUAGCUGUUUGGACGCAGAGGAAAUUCCAAUUGCUCGAACCAUAUGCAGGAUGAACUGUGGAGGAUCAAAAUAGUUUUUCAUCAAAGACAAAUUAUUUCAUUAUGUACCAUUAGUCAAAAGUCUAAAACAGUUCUUAUCACACCCAAGGAUAUUGUCUAUGGUUGAAAAGGGACCCCAGGUGUGCAUGACAUUGUUGAUGGUGCUCUUCUAAAAUCACAUCCCUUAUCUUCAGAGAAACCAAAUGCAUUGCAGAUCGUUCUGUACAGGGAUAAUAUAGAGAUCUAUAAUCUACUUGGAUCCUUUGCAUCAAAAAACAAGUUGUUAAUAGUGGUACGACACCCUAGGAAAUAUAAAUCCAAAAUACAGGCCUAAACUGUUUACUAUCAGGCUACUUGCCAUGGCUAGAUCAGCAGACCUCCGUCAAUCUGGUGUAGAUGUAAUUUUGAAUAGAAUCAAGAAAGACAUGGAUGCAUUGUACAGUGUGGUUAAAUGCUAACUAUUAACAGAGAGAAAACGAUAUAUGGU
rnacentral:lncRNA from 1 species